rnacentral:rRNA from 1 species
GAUGAACGCUGGCGGCGUGCCUAAUACAUGCAAGUCGAGCGAACGGACGAGAAGCUUGCUUCUCUGAUGUUAGCGGCGGACGGGUGAGUAACACGUGGAUAACCUACCUAUAAGACUGGGAUAACUUCGGGAAACCGGAGCUAAUACCGGAUGAUAUUUUGAACCGCAUGGUUCAAAAGUGAAAGACGGUCUUGCUGUCACUUAUAGAUGGAUCCGCGCUGCAUUAGCUAGUUGGUAAGGUAACGGCUUACCAAGGCAACGAUGCAUAGACGACCUGAGAGGGUGAUCGGCCACACUGGAACUGAGACACGGUCCAGACUCCUACGGGAGGCAGCAGUAGGGAAUCUUCCGCAAUGGGCGAAAGCCUGACGGAGCAACGCCGCGUGAGUGAUGAAGGUCUUCGGAUCGUAAAACUCUGUUAUUAGGGAAGAACAUAUGUGUAAGUAACUGUGCACAUCUUGACGGUACCUAAUCAGAAAGCCACGGCUAACUACGU